GCCGAACCAACAUUAAGCUGGUUACAACACUAAUGAAAAGUUAAGUGAUAUUUUGGCGAAUGAACAUAACUCCAAAACUACGUUUAUGAGUUUUUCAAAAUCAAUUGUGAUCCUGCAUAAGCUGAAAAGUAUUUAUAUGUUGAAUUCUCGCUACACUUCAGAUGAAUCCAACAUCAAAAGACUUGUGACACUUGGGUCACAAGAAGAAAUGACAAAGAAGUGUCCGUUGAAAUAAAUUUCUCUCUCAAACAGAAUUCUCUUUGCUGGAAAGUUGCCCUACUUCAUCCUCCGCCUGCGGCCAUCGUUGUUGGUAUAUCUCUCGGCAACAGCUCCCUCACUAUCAGCUUCCCCUCCCUUAGGCCAUUCUUUCCACCGAUUUAAUGCCAUUUCCCUCUACCUAUGUGCCCUAUUGCCCCUGAUUUGCCCUAAUUCUGCUCGUUGCUCAGCUCAUCCCCGUAGCCUUCGUCGCAUGCGACUCUCCCUCCCCUCCCUCCUGCAGCUUUUUCCUAUGAUUUUCUGUUCUUGCUUUAGGCCUUUUACGCGGUUAGAUGGAAUCAAUUUCCCAUUUCUUCCCUAUACCUACCUUUUUCACCCCUUCCCUUUCCCACCUACCGCAGGUGCCACUCCAGUGCUGGAGUUCACUUCCUACUUAGAUCCCCCUACUUCAACUAUUUUGUAGCUUUCGUUACACAUAUCAGCCUUGCCCUCAUCUCCACUCCCCUCCAAUGACCUGCCGACUCUAGAACUCUUCUCCCUUCCAAAUCCUUCCCCCUUUGUUUUCCUCCUUUCAAUUUCAGCCUUCAUAAACCUCGACAUUUCAAACAACUUACAUUGCCUUCCUUUUCAUCUCAACUGAGCCCAAUGGAAAACACUAGUCCCCCUAUUUCAUUUGAUCAGCAACCUGCUCCACCUCAACCACCUCAUACCCCAACUGCCCUCCCUCCCAAAAAAUCUUACGCCAACAUAGUCCAGAAUCCCUCUGCUUCACAUUUUAAUAUGAUCCACCUCGUGUAGCAAAAAAAAAAAAUCUUUCCUGAAAUAGUGAACUUCAGCUGCUGGGAACUGCUACUUUGUUCUAGGUGAGUCGGGAAUGAGGUAAUCCAAAGAAGAAACAUGCAUUCUGGCAGGAAGACUCAAGUUUGCUCUUUAGGCAGACAAAGAUCCAACACCUCACAUGGUGUAUCAGGAUCAAGAAAACCUAGUACCCUACCCCUUCUAUCUUUUGAUGAGAAUGAGACAAUACAAUCAGAGGUACCUCUAGUUUUCCCAACCAUCUCGGAUUCACAGCCUCAAAUUCCAAUUCAGCCCCAUGUUCUAGUUCAACCCCAUUUUCCACUUCAGCCCCAUGUUCCAACUCAUGAUCCACCACCUCAAACAGCCCCAAGAAAACCUUUCAAAAUACCUCAGCAAGGCAGCAAGACACAUUAGAUGAGACUACAACUAGAGGAUUUAAUGUGCAUAACCCAUCGCAUGAGCAGAGAAGCUACUCAAUAGCAUGUCCAACAACAACACCAAAAUCCUCAGGAGUUCAUUAGGUAAUUUUAUAAAUAAUCCAUUGAGUAUAUAACCUUAUAACAUUAUUACUAUGAGUUAAAAUAAUUUCAUGUAACUACAACAACAACCUAAAGCUUUCAAAAAGCAGAAAAAACCCAUUUCUUUUUCAAGUAAAUUGCUUAAGAGACAACAAGAAGAUGCUCCAGAUCAGUUCUCCCAAUUCAAGAGAAAAUAUUGUGUAGAGAGAAAUCCAUCUAUUUUAUAAUUGAUCAAGGGUUUGGCCAACUCACAUAGGCCAAAACAAACCAAAAAAAACG